rnacentral:rRNA from 1 species
UACGAGGGGGGCGAGCGUUGUUCGGAAUUAUUGGGCGUAAAGGGUGCGCAGGCGGUUGUGUGUGUCAGGUGUGAAAGCCCGGGGCUUAACCCCGGAAUUGCGCCUGAAACUACAUGACUAGAGCAUUGGAGAGGGUAGCGGGAAUUCACGGUGUAGCAGUGAAAUGCGUAGAUAUCGUGAGGAACACCAGAGGCGAAGGCGGCUACCUGGACAAUUGCUGACGCUCAGGCACGAAAGCGUGGGGAGCAAAAGGG